CGCCUGUGUGGUAUAUUAGGUUGCAAGAUUAACAAUCGGUUACUGUAACAGGUCAAAUCACAGAGACUCAACUCUUCAUUCAUCUCUUCUCUCUUCAUUUCAAUGUAAAUGCCGGCCUGCAGCACACGUAACCAAAAUAGAAUCAGGUCCUGCCAUCAUACACCCAAACAGUGUCAAUGCCCUCCCCGACGGUCUGUUCAGGGACCCAGGUGGGAAAGGGAAAUCUGCAGGCCACCACCUUGGCACUGCUGGGCAAUUCAUCAGUCAGCUUCACUUCCAGCUGCUCCAUCUGCACAAACAACCAUUUGACAUCCAUGUUCAUUCAGAUUGGCAAAAAAGUGCUUGAUGACACAAGUAACUUACCAUUUGAGGAACUCCAAAGAUGACAACAUUGGAAUAUUGUGAAAAACUGACCUGGAAAGGAACAAGGAAAGCAUGUUUAGCUUCUUCAACCACGUGUUUUCUAUUAUGGGCCCAACGACUGUGCCUGUGUGGUAUAUUAGGUUGCAAGAUUAACAAUUGGUUACUGUAACAAUACAAUGUACUGUACAAUUUUAUCAUCAUGGACUCGGUAACGGUUGCUUCUUUUCACUGUAAAUGCCGGCCUGCAGCACACAAAAUUGAAUCAGGUAAAGGUCAACGAGUUGGCUCUCAUGCUGUGUUUAGAUAAAUUUAUUUUUUCUCCUCAUAGAAGCGAACACGAGUGACAAUACUCAGCGCAUGACUUGGUAAAGCUGCAACAUAUGAUUAUGUAUGUUUGGAUUUUAGACCAUUUUAUUUAAGUGCAGCAGCAGCAGAUUUGCUCUGACAGGUUUGCAGCUACCAUAGUUUAGAUGUAAAACACAACAAUGCUUGGGCAUCGUCCUAAAAGUGCUGCUGGUGCAUUGAGAAGUCAGUACCACCCCACUGACCUUCCACAAAUCGGAUAUAUGAAAGGCGGUGGAUUGGUGGACCCCUUCUCUCCAGGCUCUAUAACGGGAAUACCACACCAGCCAGGGGUUCAGCUCAAAGCCAGAUGCCUGAAAGCCACGUCUGGCUGCGGCAAUAACCUACAGGAUAACAGGAAAAACAAAGAAGUGAAAAGUGAAAAACAAAACUUACAACACUAGGAGUGAUGGUGACAUUUUAGGAUACUCAGCCAUCCUGAUGCGCAGGAGGCAAUGCACAACUUUCCACAAAAAUUC